CCUGUAACGGGGCCAGCCUUUUUUGGGCAGGGGAGACAGGUGGUGCAUGGUUGUCGUCAGCUCGUGUCGUGAGAUGUUGGGUUAAGUCCCGCAACGAGCGCAACCCCUGCCCGCAGUAGCCAGCAUUUUAGAUGGGGACUCUGCGGGGACUGCCGGGGACAACCCGGAGGAAGGCGGGGAUGACGUCAAAUCAUCAUGCCCCUUAUGGCCUGGGCUACACACGUGCUACAAUGGCGCCGACAGAGGGAGGCGAAGCGGCGACGCGGAGCGAACCCCAAAAACGGCGUCCCAGUUCGGAUUGUAGUCUGCAACCCGACUACAUGAAGCCGGAAUCGCUAGUAAUCGCGGAUCAGAAUGCCGCGGUGAAUACGUUCCCGGGUCUUGUACACACCGCCCGUCACACCAUGGGAGCCGGGAAUGCCCGAAGUCUGUGACCGAACCCGGAAGGGGAGGGGCAGCCGAAGGCAGGCCCGGUGACUGGGGUGAAGUCGUAACAAGGUAACCGU
rnacentral:rRNA from 1 species